rnacentral:rRNA from 1 species
UACGUAGGGGGCAAGCGUUGUCCGGAUUUAUUGGGCGUAAAGAGCGUGUAGGCGGCUUCACAGGUCUGCUGUGAAACUCGAGGCUCAACCUCGAGCUGUCGGUGGAAACCGUGGGCUAGAGUCCGGAAGAGGAGAGUGGAAUUCCCGGUGUAGCGGUGAAAUGCGCAGAUAUCGGGAAGAACACCCGUGGCGAAGGCGGCUCUCUGGACGGUACUGACGCUGAGACGCGAAAGCGUGGGGAGCAAACAGG